UACAGAGGUCCCAAGCGUUGUUCGGAUUCACUGGGCGUAAAGGGUGCGUAGGCGGUUGGGUAAGUCUGAUGUGAAAUCCCACAGCUUAACUGUGAAACUGCAUUGGAUACUAUCCGGCUAGAGGAAUGGAGGGGAGACUGGAAUACUUGGUGUAGCAGUGAAAUGCGUAGAUAUCAAGUGGAACACCAGUGGCGAAGGCGAGUCUCUGGACAUUUCCUGACGCUGAGGCACGAAAGCGUGGGGAGCAAACAGG
rnacentral:rRNA from 1 species